UCUUUUUAACUCUUUCAAAGUUCAAAACUUUACAUUUAUCUCAUAUUUAAGUUGUUAUACAUAUAUCAUAGUACAAAUAAUUUUAAUAAGAUUUGUGCGAUAUUGUGAUUUAUUCACACCGCGACGACCGUAUUUCAUAACGCAACAGCCGUAACAGCCGAAAUCGUGAAAUCCUUGACGCGACCGCGACCGUGACCGCGACCGCUAUUUAAAACCUUGAUCAUUA
rnacentral:lncRNA from 1 species